rnacentral:misc_RNA from 1 species
GAUGAAGAACGCAGCGAAAUGCGAUAAGUAAUGUGAAUUGCAGAAUUCAGUGAAUCAUCGAAUCUUUGAACGCACCUUGCGCUCCUUGGUAUUCCGAGGAGCAUGCCUGUUUGAGUGUCAUGAAAUUCUCAACCUUUUCAGCUUUCUUUGUUGAUCAGGCUUGGAUGUGGGAGUAUGCGGGCUUCUCGGAAGUCGGCUCUCCUGAAAUGCAUUAGCGGGACCUUUGUUGCCUGGCUUUGGUGUGAUAAUUAUCUACGCCAUUGUAGUCAAGCAGCUUAAAAUGAGGUUUCAGCUUCUAACCGUCUCCCCUGAGACAACUUUUUGACAAUUUGACCUCAAAUCAGGUAGGACUACCCGCUGAACUUAAGCAUAUCAAUAAGCGGAGGA